rnacentral:rRNA from 1 species
UACGAAGGGGGCUAGCGUUGUUCGGAAUUACUGGGCGUAAAGCGUGCGCAGGCGGCUUCUCAAGUCAGGGGGUGAAAGCCCAGAGCUCAACUCUGGAAUUGCCUUUGAGACUGAGUGGCUAGAGUGCGGGAGAGGAGAGUGGAAUUCCCGGUGUAGCGGUGAAAUGCGCAGAUAUCGGGAAGAACACCCGUGGCGAAGGCGGCUACUCUGGAACGCAACUGACGCUGAGACGCGAAAGCGUGGGGGAGCAAACAGG